UGCCAGCCGCCGCGGUAAUACGAAGGGACCUCGCGUAGUUCGGAAUUACUGGGCGUAAAGAGUAUGUAGGCGGUUAGAUAAGUUAAUUGUGAAAGCCCAAAGCUUAACUUUGGAAUUGCAAUUAAAACUAUUUAGCUGGAGUAUGAUAGAGGAAAGCGGAAUACAUAGUGUAGAGGUGAAAUUCGUAGAUAUUAUGUAGAACACCAGUUGCGAAGGCGGCUUUCUGGAUCAUUACUGACGCUGAGAUACGAAAGUAUGGGUAGCGAAGAGGAUUAGAUA
rnacentral:rRNA from 1 species